rnacentral:tRNA from 2 species
CGGGAAGUGGCGCAGUUUGGUAGCGCACUUGACUGGGGGUCAAGGGGUCGUGGGUUCAAAUCCCGCCUUCCCGA